rfam:Sorghum bicolor cultivar BTx623 unplaced genomic scaffold super_634, whole genome shotgun sequence.
AUUCCAUGAUGGGGACAUUCUAGGCUGUAGUCUUGAAAGCGCUCCCAUGCUUCUGGAACAGAUUCAUCAUUUUGUUGCUGAAAACUUGUAAUCUUCCCACGGAGAGC